rnacentral:sRNA from 2 species
AGGAUGAAGAAGGUGUUUUGCUGCCGGCGGGCACGGAGGGCGAGGUAUUGGGAGCGCAGGGAGGUUUCGAGGAUGAGCAGAUUUAGGUAGAUUUGCGGCGGGGAGGAGGGCAGGGUGGAGAGGGGGUCUGGAGCAACGGUGAGAGGGCUGGGAGGAUCUUCUUGGGACGGAUGUCCUUGCUGCUGCUGUUGCUGCUGCUGCUGCUGAAAGUGGUAUUGGGAUUCAAGAGGCGGGGAUGGAGUGCUGGUCGGGGACAGGGACAGGGCGGUGGUGCUUGGAGCGCCCUUGAUAACUUGGUCGAGGCGGGAUGACAUAUUUAGAGCUGGGGUUAUGUAUUAAUAGACGAGUGGGGAUGCAUAGCUAGCGAUCGAUGAUGGUAUUAGGUAUUACGGCGGACGGGAAUCGAGCAGCGGUGGCAGCGACGUCGGUGGUUUGCUGGGAGCACAGCGUAGAUAUUGAAGCUGUAGAGCCAGCGAGAAAGAUUGAGUUGAUGGCUUUGACGUCGUUGGCUGGACACAUGACACGAUGUGGAUGAGGAUUCUACACAGA